GCCGAGGUGGCGAAAUGGCAGACGCGCUACUUUGAGGGGGUAGUGGGAGCAAUCCCGUAAGGGUUCAAGUCCCUUUCUCGGCACCA
rnacentral:tRNA from 1 species